GCGAGAGUGGCGGAACUGGCAUACGCGCCAGACUUAGGAUCUGGUUCUCAAUCUGAGAUUGGGGGUUCAAAUCCCCCCUCUCGCA
rnacentral:tRNA from 1 species